UGGCUCUUAGCUCAGCCAGGUAGAGCACCCGCCUCUUAAGCGGAUGUGCGCUGGUUCGAUUCCAGCAGGGCCAACCA
rnacentral:tRNA from 1 species